GACGAACGCUGGCGGCGUGCUUAACACAUGCAAGUCGAACGAUGACGACCGAGCUUGCUCGGUCUGAUUAGUGGCGAACGGGUGAGUAACACGUGAGCAACCUGCCCUUCACUCUGGGAUAACCUCGGGAAAUCGGGGCUAAUACCGGAUAUGAGCUCCUGUCGCAUGGCGGGGGUUGGAAAGUUUUUCGGUGAAGGAUGGGCUCGCGGCCUAUCAGUUUGUUGGUGGGGUAGUGGCUCACCAAGGCGAUGACGGGUAGCCGGCCUGAGAGGGCGACCGGCCACACUGGGACUGAGACACGGCCCAGACUCCUACGGGAGGCAGCAGUGGGGAAUAUUGCACAAUGGGCGAAAGCCUGAUGCAGCGACGCCGCGUGAGGGAUGACGGCCUUCGGGUUGUAAACCUCUUUCAGCAGGGAAGAAGCGAAAGUGACGGUACCUGCAGAAGAAGCGCCGGCUAACUACGUG
rnacentral:rRNA from 1 species